GACGAACGCUGGCGGCGUGCUUAAAAACAUGCAAGUCGAACGGUGAAGGGGCUUCGGCCCUGGAUGAGUGGCGUACGGGUGAGUAACACGUGAGGAACCUGCCCUCCGGUGGGGGAUACCGCCUCGAAAGGGGCGUUAACACCGCAUAGGGCGCAGAGGACGCUUGUCCUUUGCGGGAAAACGGCAACGUGCCGGAGGAGGGUCUCGCGGCCUAUCAGCUAGUUGGGGGGGGUAACGGCCUCCCAAGGCGACGACGGGUAGCCGGCCUGAGAGGGUGAGCGGCCACACUGGGACUGAGACACGGCCCAGACUCCUACGGGGGGCAGCAGUUGGGAAUCUUGCGCAAUGGGGGCAACCCUGACGCAGCGACGCCGCGUGCGGGAUGACGAUCUUCGGAUUGUAAACCGCUUUUCUCGGGGACGAAUCAGACGGUACCCGAGGAAGAAGCCCCGGCUAACUCCGUG
rnacentral:rRNA from 1 species